AACGUAGGUGGCGAGCGUUAUUCGGAUUCACUGGGCGUAAAGGGUGCGCAGGCGGCUAUGUGUGUGAGGCGUGAAAGCCCGGGGCUUAACCCCGGAAUUGCACCUCAAACUACAUGGCUAGAGCAUUGGAGAGGGUAGCGGAAUUCACGGUGUAGCAGUGAAAUGCGUAGAUAUCGUGAGGAACACCAGUAGGCGAAGGCGGC
rnacentral:rRNA from 1 species